rnacentral:rRNA from 1 species
AGCAGCCGCGGUAAUUCCAGCUCCAAUAGCGUAUAUUAAAGUUGUUGCAGUUAAAAGGCUCGUAGUUGAAUUUCGGGAUCAGUAGGUUGGUCAUACCUCUGGUAUGUACUGGUCUCACUGAUUCCUCCCUCUUGAAGAACUGUAAUGUCAUUAAUUUGAUGUUGCGGGGAAUCAGGACUGUUACUUUGAAAAAAGUUAGAGUGUUUAAAGCAGGCUCACGCUUGAAUACAUUAGCAUGGAAUAAUGAAAUAGGACGUAUGAUCCUAUUUUGGUUGGUUUCUAGGAUUGACGUAAUGAUUAAUAGGGAUAGUUGGGGGUCAUUAGUAUUCAAUUGUCAGAGGCGAAAUUCUUGGAUUUAUUGAAGACUAACUACUGCGAAAGCAUUUGCCAAGGAUGUUUUCAUUAAUCAAGAACGAAAGUUAGGGGAUCGAAGACGAUCAGAUACCGUCGUAGUCUUAACCAUAAACUAUGCCGACUAGGGAUCGGAUGAUGUUAAUUUUUUGAAUGACUCAUUCGGCGC